rnacentral:rRNA from 1 species
UACCCGAUAGACUCGACUUAUCACACUGCAGCAGACACUGGGAGCAGGACUACACAGCGAGUAUGUAGCGUGCUACGAGUCCUGCACUGUGUCUACUACGCUACACUAGAGACAGUAUUGAUAUCUGCGCUCCUGCUGAGUCAGUUACUCCGAAAAGAGUGAUAGCUCUGAUCAGGCAACAACACCGCUCGUUGCGUUGCUCUUGUUGCAGCAAGCUAGUAUCACGCUCCACAAAGAUUCACAGAUCCUUGGUUCUUGCCAAGGUCGGACUCUUUGAGCGACCUCCGCAUUACGAUAGGUCGUGGCAU